UACUAAGUUUCAACAACGGAUCUCUUGGCUCUCGCAUCGAUGAAGAACGCAGCGAAAUGCGAUAAGUAAUGUGAAUUGCAGAAUUCAGUGAAUCAUCGAAUCUUUGAACGCACCUUGCGCUCCUUGGUAUUCCUUGGAGCAUGCCUGUUUGAGUAUCAUGAAAU
rnacentral:rRNA from 1 species